CUGCUUGCUGAGUUUACGUGCCUGCCUCUCCCUGGCUUCGAAGGCGGCUUUGGUAUCCAACAGCUCAUCCAGCUGCCGGCGAAUCCGCGCCAUGUCCAGCUGGGAGGCCUCGCACUGCUCCCUGAGGGCCGAAGACUCCACCCUCAGCUGCGUGGCAGCCAUGGAGAGCUGAUCGCUGCGCUCCCGGCACUGCAUCUGCAUCCUUUUGGCAUCAUUCAGGAGAGACUCCACGCUCACCACAACAGAUUCACACUGAUCCUGAGACAUCUCCUGGAACACAGACACAGGACUGGAUUGGGUUUGAGAGUCAAAACAACACACUCAGAGAUGAAGAUGAAAGUCACUCAAUGCAGGAAAACAGAGAUUUAAAACAUGUUUGUGAGAGGUGCAAGGGCCGGGCUCUAUCCUCUAUGGUUCUGUAUCAUCUCACUUGGCAGAAAACUACAACUAUCCUGCCAAAAAAGCAGAUAACUGAAUCAAUAGGACACAGUCAGAAGUCGAGCACAGAUCAACAGGUUUAAAAGAGAGCAUUUGAUCUGUGCAGUGUGAAGUAGCUUAAAGAGGCUUAUCAUAGCUUAGCCUAGUCUACAGUGUCCACUGCUCUCCACCGGCUGUCUCUUUUGUGCCUACUCCACCAACGAACUCUGAUUCAUUUCACAUGUAUUCUUUGCCUCAGAUGUAUUUAUGCCUUAACUAUUUCUAAUUAAUACAACAACGAGGGUGUACAAUAGUCUUACCAUAGGCUGCAAAGUCAAACUUAUAACAACUUUUGUCUUCUGCGACUCAAGCUGCAGACAGUCCUUGAUAUCCUCCAGAGCGCUUUCUUGUCUUCCUUUACAGACUUCCUGUUGGUGAAAUAACAGAGACAGUCACUCCUGGUGUUGAUCCUACUUGAAUUGAAGAUAGUGGAAACAGCUGAUGGAAGUUCCCUCACACUCUGUUAAGUGUUUUCCUCCCAGAGACGAGACGGUUGAAAAACGGCUCUGUCUCUGCUGCCGUCACACCCGGGUCACCAAAAAGCCCUCCUGCCGGCCCGCCAAACCCUCCAGCAAUGACCUUUGACCCUAAACUCUGACGCCUCUGAAUGAACACCAGGACCCCGAUGAUGACCCAGAAGAAGAAGUUGACCCACACUGCCGUCUGAGAGGAAGACGACACAGAACACACAGUGGUUAUGACCGAGUUGCAGAGCGAGUCGCGUCCGAUCUUCAGCAUGCACCCCGUGAUGAGCAGGAAGAAGAGGAAGGCGCCGCACACGAUCACGAUCAUGUUCAUCCACAAGCGCUCCCUGUGGAGAGCAGAAUCAACAGAGGGAGCGUGAGAAUGGGAGGAGGGUUUUUAUGAAGGGAUGGAAAAGAGAAAUUAAAAGUGUUACUGUGGUGUGACCUAUGGCCUCUUUUUGAUCUGUUUUUCCUACUCUGUUUUUCCCCUCUUGUGGUUCCUUGUUGCUGUUUCACUAUAUUAACUACCAGAAACACAAUUGUUGAAUUGAGAUGGACUUUGCACUGACAAAAUAUGUAC